rnacentral:lncRNA from 1 species
GGUGCAAGUCAGAUUGGAUUGGGUGGUAUAAAAUUUUAGAGUCCUAGGUGCUUUGGACUCUUAUCUCCUACCCAAUCUCUAACUCUCUUAUGCCUAUUUAAACAUGGGACUUGAUGAGGCAUAAGGGGGCUGAUAAAGAUCAGUUUGAGAUGCCAAAAACCAAGGAGAGUGCAUGAAGAAAAAUUAUGAAGAGAAAAAUGGCAUGAAGAUGGAGGGCGUGAGUUUGCUUGAUCCUUUCUUUCUUACACAACCAAAAGUUGGCUGUUAGGAUAUCUCUCCCUCUCUUUUGUCCAUGUUU